rnacentral:snRNA from 1 species
UUGUACUCACUUCGGUGGCAAAUUUACUAAAAUUGGAACUAUACAGAGAAGAUUAGCAUGGCUCCUGCGCAAAAUCGUGGAGCGUUCCUCAUUUUU